rnacentral:SRP_RNA from 1 species
UAAAAGAGCCAUGGGAAUGAUAACCUUGUAAUCUGGUCAGGAUGGAAACAUAGCAGCCACGUCGAGAAGUGUCAUGUCUUAUGGUUUUUUUGUACUA